rnacentral:rRNA from 1 species
GGGGUAUAUUGGGCAAUGGACGCAAGUCUGACCCAGCAACGCCGCGUGAAGGAAGAAGGCUUUCGGGUUGUAAACUUCUUUUAUGGGGGAAGUGUAGAAGACGGUACCCCUUGAAUACGCCAAGGCUAACUACGUGCCAGCAGCCGCGGUAAUACGUAGGUGGCAAGCGUUGUCCGGAUUUACUGGGUGUAAAGGGCGUGUAGCCGGGAAGGUAAGUCAGAUGUGAAAUCUGGGGGCUCAACCUCCAAACUGCAUUUGAAACUACUUUUCUUGAGUAUCGGAGAGGUAGUCGGAAUUCCUUGUGUAGCGGUGAAAUGCGUCGAUAUUAGGAGGAACACCGGUGGCGAAGGCGGCUUCCUGGACAAAUACUGACGCUGAGGUGCGAACGCGUGGGGAGCAAACA